rnacentral:rRNA from 1 species
ACGGAAGGCAGCAGUGGGGAAUAUUGCACAAUGGGCGCAAGCCUGAUGCAGCAACGCCGCGUGAGGGAAGACGGUUUUCGGAUUGUAAACCUCUGUUCUUGGUGACGAAGACGUGACGGUAGCCAAGGAGAAAGCCACGGCUAACUACGUGCCAGCAGCCGCGGUAAUACGUAGGUGGCAAGCGUUAUCCGGAAUUACUGGGUGUAAAGGGAGCGCAGGCGGGACAGCAAGUCAGCGGUGAAAUGUAUGGGCUCAACCCAUGAACUGCCGUUGAAACUGUUGUUCUUGAGUGGAGUAGAGGUAGGCGGAAUUCCGAGUGUAGCGGUGAAAUGCGUAGAUAUUCGGAGGAACACCAGUGGCGAAGGCGGCCUGCUGGGCUCUAACUGACGCUGAGGCUCGAAAGUGUGGGGAGCAAACAGGAUUAGAUACCCUGGUA